UCUCCAGCGCACACAGAUCUGAGCCCCCAGCUAGCCCCCUUCGUCUCCGAGUCCGGCGGAUCUCCUAGCCGGCCGAUCGGCUCCUGCAUGAACUCUCCCCUUCCCUCACGAUGGUUUGUUUCGCGAGUGGUUUUUUGCGGUGGUGGCGGCGCCGUUUUCCAUGGCUAACUGACACAAGAGAGUGAGCACACAGCGGGCAGACUGCAUCGAUCCGCAGCGCACCUUUGCAAUCAGGACGGCGCACGUACGAAUGAUGCAGCUGCUGCUGCGUGCUCAGUUCUCUCUCUGUCAGUCCUCUCCGGCCUCUCCCUGUCGCCACUUGCCAUGGCGGUUGCUGCUCUCUCUCUCUUUCUUGCUCUCGCUGCUGCUGCAAGUUGCAGGCCAGUGAAUGGGUUCAGGCUCUACCGCGACGGGGCAACAAGGGUUGACAGGGCAGCGGUGGCGAGAUAAGGCCGGUUUGGGCGGGGUCUCGUCCUUAUCUUGUACUACGGCCGCUGCCCUACGUCCCGCCGCCCGAGGAGGGGGGCGUCGGAGCGGUGGCGCGGCUGGACCCGUACUUUGGAGCAAGGUACGUGUCGGCUAGCCGUGUGCUCCCGUUGCGCGCCUGCGUGCAUGCCGCCCCCUCCCCGCCUUUUGCUUCCGCUUUCCUUUCACGCUGCAGGCCGUGUCUCGGCCUCCCAACAAGGUCGAGGGAAAGGCAACGGGCCACAAGGGGGGACACGCCUCGGGGAAGAAGACGACGCCCUCGCGCGUGGCUGAUUGAUUAACUGAUCUCGCCGAUCUUCCCGCUGGCGCGGCUUUCCUUGCACACUCGUAGCCGAAAACCUCGCACUGUUCGACUGCCAGUCGAUCCGUCUUCAUCGAUCUGCUAUCUGCUGCGUCCCUGCUCUCAUGUCUGUAGCUCCGUUUAGCUUCGAGAUCUGAUGAUAACUCGAUGAAAUCCCCGAGAUCUGAUGCUUAUCUCUCUAAAUUAUUACUGGUUGUUUCAUUUCUUUUUCACCCUCAUCUGAAACGUUUCUCUUUGCAGUAGUGCCAUCAUCUCAUGUGCUGCAGCCUGCAGGUAGGUUUUUUUUUGGGGUGGCCAUGGUGGUGCCGGAUCGUACAGGAGGUGGAUCUGCCUGCCCGGAAGAGGAAGAAGCAUCAGUGCGUCUGCCUUCCAGAUCCGGAAACUGCUGCAGUACGUGCUUACGUAAGCGUACUUGCAGAUCUCACGAUGUGUUCAUCUCCAGGUGCACGAAAUCAAUUAGGGAUUGCUAAUCCUGAUAUCAAAAUUGACGGUUAUGCACGGAUGAGUUCAUCUUUUGGUUGAACAUGAAGAUCUUUUCAGAUCGCCUAUGUAUGCCUGUGCCUUUUAUCACAAUAUUAUGGCCACCAAUUUAUUGUGAUCCAUCAGAAAACGCAACAUUCAAAUACGGAUAAAUUGGUCACGAUUCUUAUUUUAUGGAUCUGAUAUGAUUCUGGUAGCUGUAUCUGAGGUUCAAGUGCUGUGAUCAUUAAGGCUCAAUUGUUCUUUCAUGAGCAGGAUCUCCUUAUACUUUUGGAUCCAUGUCCAAGUUUUCACUGAACAAAAUAUUUUUUUUAUUGUGGCAUGAAAUGUCUCAUAAUACAGUUUCUUUAAAAAGCCUCUUAGUUUUUAUCAUUCCCUGUGCAAUCGAACAAAAUAUAUAAUGGAAGAUUCAUUACAAUUUUAUGUGGUCAAAUCAGUUUCUAGACCUAGAAGUAUUUUGCAAAGGUUGAGAGGAUUUUCCAAAACAAGAUAACUGGUGCAGUUUAAUGUCGACCUCUGAUCCGGUUGUGCUUCCUACUUCUUUUUGAAUCUAUCCCUUCACACGAAUGAUUCAUUAUUUGAGUAUGUAAUUGAUCCAUAAAUAAUUUUCAAAGCCAUGCACACACAUAUUUUCAAAGCCAUGGACUUGUAAAAAAAAAAUUAUUUGCAAUGAUCAGCAUGGUACUUUCUUUUUGCAAUACAUGUCUUUCUUAUGUAUAAUUUUACCUUAAUGGCCGGAUACAUGCUGUAAAUUUCCUUAGCUUCUGUAACAGGGUUCCUAAAUAUAAGUUUCUUAAUUAAGUUUAGAUCUCAGAUCAACGGCUCUACAGCCAUACCUAUUGGUCUAAAUCUCAAAUACAUGUGAUUUAGUUUUCACUAAUUUCUCUCUCUUUGAACUCAGUAGAUCAUUUGCUAGAGACAUAAUUAAGCUGGUUAAUUAUACCUUGAACUUAAUUAUAUAUUUCCAGUGCUACCUUUGGAUUGCAAUCUCCCCUCUAAAGGAAUAUGCAAAUGUUCCUUAUACAGAUUUUGUUUUUCUUGCAGUACUGUCUGGAGUUUGUUAGUACUACUACCUCUAUAUGAAUUCAAGAAGGGAUACCAACAAUUACUACCAGUGGAUCGCCACUUGUAUGUCUCCCCCAAAGCUUAUCCAUAUGGCCUGAACGGAACAGGCAGACCCUUCCUGAACAUGGUUCCUGCUGGGCACGUGUUGCCAAUGUUUGGACAUCUGGAGAUAAAACUCUGAUUGCAUGAAGUCAUGAAUCAGGAGUCAGGAUACGCCACGCCUUUCUCAGGUCCCUAGAUAUGUAUGAAACGUGCAUGCUCUCCAGCAUUGCGGACGACAACACGCCUGUUAUCAGACAGAUCCAAAAUAAGCCUUGCAUCUUUGAAAAAGUUGAAUACUAGCCAAGGUUAUUUUGGCAGCUUCAUUUAGUUAAUUCUUUGGUAGAGUAACUAGUUCCCCGUUAAACUAUUUAAUCUUAUGUAGACAUAUCGGUUUGCUAUCUCUGCUGUUAACUACCAAUUCCAGUAAGUCUUAAACAUUUCUAGCAUACUGGUAUGCGGCAGAAUUUCUUUUAUUAAUUCUUAUUUUUUA